GAAGGAGGUAACGGGAACAUAGAGGAAGGAAACGUUGCUUCUGCCGUUGAUGAGGAGACUAUUCUACGAACUGAGGGGAAUAAAAUCCCUCAGAACCUGAAGACACCCAGAUUGCCAACAGCAGAGGGACAGGAAUCGCCUGAAGUCCAUGCUGUAAGACAUACUUCAAAA